rnacentral:rRNA from 1 species
GACGUAGGGCGCGAGCGUUGUCCGGAUUUAUUGGGCGUAAAGAGCUCGUAGGCGGCUCAUCGCGUCAACCGUGAAAACCAGCAGCUCAACUGUUGGCUUGCGGUUGAUACGGGUGGGCUGGAGUUCGGUAGGGGAGACUGGAAUUCCUGGUGUAGCGGUGAAAUGCGCAGAUAUCAGGAGGAACACCGGCGGCGAAGGCGGCACUCUGGGCCGGUACUGACGCUGAGGAGCGAAAGCGUGGGUAGCAAACAGG